rnacentral:rRNA from 1 species
UACGGGGGGGGGCAAGCGUUUGUUCGGAAUUACUGGGCGUAAAGGGUGCGUAGGCGGUCCGCUAAGUUGGAUGUGAAAACUCUGGGCUUAACCCAGAGCCUGCAUUCAAAACUGACGGGCUAGAGUUCUGGAGGGGGUAGCGGAAUUCCUGGUGUAGCGGUGAAAUGCGUAGAUAUCAGGAGGAACACCGGUGGCGAAGGCGGCUACCUGGACAGAAACUGACGCUGAGGCACGAAAGCUAGGGGAGCAAAUGGG